GCGGAGGAAAAGAAAAUAACAAUGAUUUCCCUAGUAACGGCGAGUGAAGAGGAAAGAGCUCAAAGUUGGAACCUGUUUGGCUUAGCUAAACCGGAUUGUAAACUGUAGAAGUGUUUUCCAGACACGCCUGGUAAAAAAGUCCUUUGGAACAGGGCAUCAUAGAGGGUGAGAAUCCCGUCUUUGGCCAGAGCUGUUGUCUUUUGUGAUACAUUUUCAAAGAGUCAGGUUGUUUGGGAAUGCAGCCUAAAUUGGGUGGUAAAUCUCACCUAAAGCUAAAUAUUUGCGAGAGACCGAUAGCGAACAAGUACCGUGAGGGAAAGAUGAAAAGAACUUUGAAAAGAGAGUUAAACAGUAUGUGAAAUUGUUAAAAGGGAACCGUUUGGAGCCAGACUGGCUUGACUGUAAUCAAUCUAGGCUUCGGCCUGGAUGCACUUGCGGUUUAUGCCUGCCAACGACAAUUUUUUUUGAGGGAAAAAACUAUGAGGAAUGUGGCCCCUCUCGGGGGGUGUUAUAGCCUUUUAGAAAAUACCUUGAAUUGGAUUGAGGAACGCAGUGAAUGCCUUUAGGCAAGAUUGCUGGGCGCUUUCGCUAAUAAAUGCUAGAAUUUCUGCUUCGGGUGGUGCUAGUGUUUAAAGGAGAAACUCGCUUAGUAUAUUUUUUAUUCGCUUAGGUUGUUGGCUUAAUGACUCUAAAUGAC
rnacentral:rRNA from 1 species